GGGCGUUUGGCACAGUGGUAGCGCGCUUGCUUUGCACCAGAUGGAGUUCACUUCAUUGUCACGUGACUUGCACGAGGCCGUGGGUUCAAUCCCCACAACGUCCA